UACGUAGGGGGCAAGCGUUGUCCGGAUUUAUUGGGCGUAAAGAGCGUGUAGGCGGCUAGAUAGGUCCGUUGUGAAAACUCGAGGCUCAACCUCGAGACGUCGAUGGAAACCAUCUGGCUAGAGUCCGGAAGAGGAGAGUGGAAUUCCUGGUGUAGCGGUGAAAUGCGCAGAUAUCAGGAGGAACACCGAUGGCGAAGGCAGGUCUCUGGGCCACUACUGACGCUGAGAAGCGAAAGCAUGGGGAGCGAACAGG
rnacentral:rRNA from 1 species